GGGCCGCACGCGCGCUACACUGACGGAGCCAGCAAGUCCAACCUUGGUCGAGAGGCCCGGGUAAUCUCGUGAAACUCCGUCGUGCUGGGGAUAGAGCAUUGUAAUUUUUGCUCUUCAACGAGGAAUUCCUAGUAAGCGCAAGUCAUCAGCUUGCGUUGAUUACGUCCC
rnacentral:rRNA from 1 species